GAUGAGGAACGCAGCGAAAUGCGAUAAGUAAUGUGAAUUGCAGAAUUCAGUGAAUCAUCGAGUCUUUGAACGCACAUUGCGCCCCCUGGUAUUCCGGGGGGCAUGCCUGUCCGAGCGUCAUUGCUGCCCUCAAGCACGGCUUGUGUGUUGGGCCUCCGUCCUCCUCCCGGGGGACGGGCCCGAAAGGCAGCGGCGGCACCGCGUCCGGUCCUCGAGCGUAUGGGGCUUCGUCACCCGCUCUUGUAGGCCCGGCCGGCGCUUGCCGACACAUCAAUCUUUUUUCCAGGUUGACCUCGGAUCAGGUAGGGAUACCCGCUGAACUUAAGCAUAUCAAUAAGCGGAGGA
rnacentral:misc_RNA from 1 species